GGGCUGCCUGAUGAUACACUAAAGGAGGCCCAGUAGCACGGAAUGGGUAUUUGUAAAGGAUCCAUGUUGGUAUAUCAAAAUAGAACCCUACUGACGGAAAAAAGAGGAACAUCGGGACGAAUUAAAAGGGAUUUUGAAGAGAGGAGAAGCUCGGAGUCAAAGAACUUACCGUAAAAUUACAAGUUUCCGAGUGCAGGAGCUUGAUUCAACACAAGAGAGCUUUAUCAAAUGCAGGACCAAGAGUGCAGGAGUAUCAUUCGUGUGACAACCGGCAAAAUUACAUGGCAACUAAGUAGAUCCUUGCUCGGUUUGGUCUCAAGAUUACAAGGUUGUCAAGGUUGCGAUAUCAUCCCAUUUUGAAGGUUUUGGUUCAUAUAUCUCGUCCUCGAGCAAGAUAUAGAAUGCAAAGCCUGGGUGUUUUAAAACUUUAUUUUGUACAAGUCUUCUUUUGGUAAAACAAUAUAACUCGUGUUGUCUUUAUAUGAACAAUUUAUGACUUGUAAACUUUUCUAUGCUUGAUUGAAUGGAUGAA